rnacentral:rRNA from 1 species
AUGGCGGCCGUGCGGGUGGCGGCGGUGGGGGUGCUGCUGGCGGCCGUGGCCGUCGCGGCGGCCGCGCUGAACACGGACGGCCUGGCGCUUCUCGCGCUCAAGUUCGCGGUGACCGAUGACCCUGGCAGUGGGCUCGACACCUGGAGGGACGCCGACCCCGACCCCUGCGGCUGGGCCGGCGUCACCUGCGUUGACGGCGGCGGGGGCCGGGUCGCCGGCGUGGAGCUCGCCAACCUCUCGCUCGCGGGCUACCUGCCCUCCGAGCUCUCCCUGCUAUCCGAGCUCGAGACGCUGUCGCUGCCGUCCAACCGCCUGUCCGGCCAGAUCCCGGUCGCCAUCUCCGCGCUGCAGAAGCUCACCACCCUCGACCUGGCGCACAACUUCCUGUCCGGCCAGAUUCCUGCCGGGAUUGGGAGGCUCGCUUCCUUGUCUCGCCUCGAUUUGUCCUCCAACCAGCUCAACGGGACGCUCCCGCCGUCCAUCGCGGGGCUUCCGCGUCUCUCCGGCGUGCUCAACCUCAGCUACAACCAUUUCGUCGGCGGGAUCCCGCCGGAGUUCGGCGGCAUUCCCGUGGCUGUCAGCCUUGACCUCCGGGGGAACGACCUCGCCGGCGAGAUCCCGCAGGUGGGCUCGCUCGUCAACCAGGGCCCCACCGCCUUCGACGACAACCCGAGGCUCUGCGGGUUUCCGCUCAAGAUCGAGUGCGCCGGAGAGAGGGAUGAGCCAAGAAUCCCGCAGUCGAACCCUGGCAUGAACCCUGGUGCAGCGGCGCAGGUUGGGAGGCCGCCGAAGCGUCGGUCGUCGCCCACGGUGCCGAUUCUGGCCGUCAUUGUGGUGGCGGCCAUCGUUGCCGGGCUAGUGCUGCAGUGGCAGUGCCGGAGGCGGUGCGCUGCAACGACCAGGAACGAGGACAAGGAGUCGUCCACCAAGGAGAAGAGCGCGGCGGUGACGCUCGCCGGCACUGAAGAGCGGCGCGGCGGCGGGGAGGAGGGGGAGCUCUUCGUGGCGGUGGACGACGGCUUCGGGAUGGAGCUGGAGGAGCUGCUCCGCGCGUCCGCUUACGUCGUGGGGAAGAGCCGCGGCGGCAUCGUGUACAGGGUCGUCCCCGGCCGCGGCACCGCCGUAGCCGUCCGCCGUCUCAGUGAGCCCGACGACGGCGAUGGCACUGAGUCCGGGUGGCGCCGGCGCCGUGCCUUCGAGGCCGAGGCUGCCGCCAUCGGCCGCGCGCGUCAUCCCAACGUCGCCCGCCUCCGCGCAUACUACUACGCCCCAGACGAGAAGCUGCUCAUCUACGACUACCUCGGCAAUGGCUCCCUCCACUCCUCCCUCCACGGUGGCCCGACGGCUUCGCCAACUCCAUUACCGUGGUCGGUGAGGCUGUCCAUCGUUCAGGGCGCGGCGAGGGGACUGGCAUACCUGCACGAGUGCAGCCCUCGCCGGUACGUGCACGGUUGCAUCAAGUCGUCCAAGAUCCUGCUCGACGACGAGCUCCGUCCGCACGUCUCGGGCUUCGGCCUCGCCCGCCUCGUCGCCGGCGCGCACAAGACGGCGCAGUCGAGGAAGCUCGGCAGCGCGGCGUGCGCGCUCCGCAGCGGCGCCCUGUCGGCGCUGUCGUACGUGGCGCCGGAGCUGCGCGCGCCGGGGGGCACGGCCGCGGCGGCGACGCAGAAAGGGGACGUGUUCGCGUUCGGGGUGGUGCUGCUGGAGGCGGUGACCGGGCGGCAGCCGACGGAGGGGGAGGGCGGGCAGGAGCUGGAGGCGUGGGUGCGGGGAGCCUUCAAGGAGGAGCGGCCGCUGUCGGAGGUGGUGGACCCGACGCUGCUCGGCGAGGUGCACGCCAAGAAGCAGGUCCUCGCCGUGUUCCACGUGGCGCUCGGCUGCACCGAGCCCGACCCCGAGCUGCGCCCCCGCAUGCGCGCCGUCGCCGAGAGCCUCGACCGGGUGAACUAA